rnacentral:rRNA from 1 species
CUCCGGUUGAUCCUGCCGGACCCGACUGCUAUCAGAGUGGGACUAAGCCAUGCGAGUCAACAUAGCAAUAUGUGGCAUACGGCUCAGUAACACGUAGUCAACAUGCCCAGGGGACGUGGAUAACCUCGGGAAACUGAGGAUAAACCGCGAUAAGUCACUACUUCUGGAAUGGGUAAUGACUCAAAUCUACAUGGCCCCUGGAUUGGACUGCGGCCGAUCAGGCUGUUGGUGAGGUAAUGGCCCACCAAACCUGUAACCGGUACGGGCUCUGAGAGGAGUAGCCCGGAGAUGGGCACUGAGACAAGGGCCCAGGCCCUAUGGGGCGCAGCAGGCGCGAAACCUCUGCAAUAGGCGAAAGCCUGACAGGGUUACUCUGAGUGAUUUCCGUUAAGGAGAUCUUUUGGCACCUCUAAAAAUGGUGCAGAAUAAGGGGUGGGCAAGUCUGGUGUCAGCCGCCGCGGUAAUACCAGCACCCCGAGUGGUCGGGACGUUUAUUGGGCCUAAAGCAUCCGUAGCCGGUUCUACAAGUCUUCCGUUAAAUCCACCUGCUUAACAGAUGGGCUGCGGAAGAUACUAUAGAGCUAGGAGGCGGGAGAGGCAAGCGGUACUCGAUGGGUAGGGGUAAAAUCCGUUGAUCCAUUGAAGACCACCAGUGGCGAAGGCGGCUUGCCAGAACGCGCUCGACGGUGAGGGAUGAAAGCUGGGGGAGCAAACCGGAUUAGAUACCCGGGUAGUCCCAGCUGUAAACGAUGCAGACUCGGUGAUGAGUUGGCUUAUUGCUAACUCAGUGCCGCAGGGAAGCCGUUAAGUUUGCCGCCUGGGGAGUACGGUCGCAAGACUGAAACUUAAAGGAAUUGGCGGGGGAGCA